rnacentral:lncRNA from 1 species
UUCAGCCAUUUCAUGCAUGUAUUUCUAUGAUUAUUUCAUGAUGUUAUAGGGGGUUUUUGGGGAGUAUAUUAGAGUUAUGUUUAUGUAUGUUUGGUCCCUCAUUGGAGUCCAACUGUGUAGGUUCGGACCCGAGGAACCGAGGACCCCAGCAGUGAGCCAGCUGCUACAGAGUUUGUCAGAGCUAGCCAGAGGUGAGUGGAAUAAACUUUAAAUUUUAAAAUAAAUGAAAUAUGAAUUUUGAGCAUGAUCCAUGCAUCAUGAAUGCCAUGAGAUAUAGUAGGUUGCUUGCAUUAGUAUUCACGAAUAUGUUGCAUUGCAUUUAUGAUGUUGAUGUGGAUUGGUUAUUGGAUGACCCUUUAGUCCUCAUAUGAUAUGAUGAUGCUACGGCAUGAGAUAUGGUAUGGAAGUCCAGGUUGUACCCAUUCUACGUCCCUGGCACGAUGUAAGAGGAAGUCCAGGUUGUACCCAUUCUACGUCCCUGGCACAGUUGGACUGUAUGAUAUGUUAUGUUAAGAGAAAGACCGGUUGUACCCAUUCUACGUCCCGGCACAGUUGGACUAUGUAGAGGACUAUUGGUGACAAUACCAUCCGAGAUGUGAUUUGUUGUGAUGUGUUGCAUUACAUAAUGGCAUAAAAUUUUAAUACAUGUUUUCUCUAUUCUGCUCACUGGGCUUUGUAGCUCACCCCUCUCCCCUAACCCCAGAUGUGCAGGUACAGGGUAGACCAGGAGGUUAGCCAGAGAUAUGAAGAGUGUAUGUAAUAGUUAGUUUGUGGACAUGACAGUUGUAUUAUGAUAGUUAUGUUAUGUAUAAUGAUAUUGAGGAUUAGAUAUUGUGCUUGACAUUAUGUAUUGAGGUAUCCCUUUUAUUACAUGAUCAAAAUGUUUUAUAAUGUUAUGGAAGCCAACUCAUCUCAUGAUGU